rnacentral:tRNA from 3 species
GGAGACGUGCCAGAGCGGCCGAAUGGGGCUCACUGCUAAUGAGUUGUCUACUUAACGGUGGACCGGAGGUUCAAAUCCUCUCGUCUCCGCAA